UUACGCAAGAGAGGCUCACGGCAACUCCUGCCUUUUGUUCCAAGGCUGCUUCUGCGUGGACUACAUUUCCCGGCAAGCUAGCGGGCCGGGUGGAAGAAAGACUAUGUUAGGCAUAAAAAGGUGUACAGAAACCUAUUACGCUGAGCAAUGAAGGUCUACUCUGAGUAUGGUUUAUUUGGAUAAAACUCAAUGGGUGGAAACAGCAAGGAAGGAGAUCACAGCUAAACAUUAGGAGAACAUCCCUAAUGGUAAGAGCUGUGCAGCUGUGAAACAAACUACUUUGGGAAGUGGGAGAAGGUGGUGGAAGUGCUGAAGCAGAAGCUGGAUGGCAAUGCGUCCACAUCCUGGAUCCUUCAUCAAGCAGGAAGUUGGAGGCUCCAUUCAGUGGAAAUGCUAUAAAGGCCUUUUUGUGUGUGCUGAAGCCUGCUGGAAACUGUGGAGCAGAUUUCAUCUUUUUCAUCCUGUUCAGCAAAAAUUUGCUUAUCCCAUGAAACUCUUUAUCAUGACUGCUGGAGCCUUUCACACAGAGCCAAAAGGUGGCAAAGGCUUCAUUAUAUAAUCAUUAUCACUUUCUCUUUUCAGCAUGAACAAAAAUAUCUUCUUCUACCUUAACGUUUGUUUGAGCUAAAAUAGCUCUGAGGUUUUGCUUGAUCUAAAACAUAUGGGGAUAUUCUUGUGGAGGGCAAAGUUUUAUAAGGGAGCACUUGACAUGAGGCAACUCAAGUCUUCUUACGGAGAACUACUAUAAAUGUAGCAGACAAGUAAGUGGGUGGUGACUUGGCAAGUCUCUGGUCAAAAUCUCACCAUUCCCUAUGACAGCCCUUUAAGGAAAUAUCAAAACUACCUAACGUAGAUUCCUUUACCCUCACUGACUCUAACCCUAAUCUCAAGAUAACCAGAACUCAGCUCUGGAUGUCAUUUUUAAAAAUUGUUUUGGUUGUUUCUAUUUUCCUUUGCAAGUAUUACAAGUAUUGAUAUUGCUCUGAUCUUCCCAUUAAAUGUUCAUUUUGGUCCAUUUAUGCUAGAAGCCUUGUAAUCAGUUUCUUGUGGGACAAAGAAAUCCUGUUUUUCUUGCCUCCAUUAAAUAGAAUUCUUCAGAAGGUAAAAUAUUUAUGAUUUAAUGUUAUUUCCCGCUUAUUUUCCACCCUGUCUUUUAUAUUGUUUGGGACUAAAGUUCUCAUUUCAAGGUAUUACACAAUGGAUAGUACCCAAUAAAGUCAUUCUGUUAGUGCAAGAUUUUCCAUUUGUGCAACAGAACUUCCUCUCCAUUUCCUCUCUCUGUGCACUCCCCCCAUGCCUUCUGCAGAUCUGCUC